UGGGACUUGCUCCUUGUUGCCUCCUCUUUGAUCUUUGCAUCAGAGGGCCCUGCCAGUCUCUGUCCUCACAGUACCCAGUCUCUUGGAGCCCAAAUGGACUACGACAGUGCCCAAGAAAGACAUAAGGGGAAGAGUACCAGCUGAGAAUACAUACCAAAGAUGCUGUCUCCAGCACUGCAUGGGACAAGGAUGAAGCCUCAUCAGCCAGCUGAACUGGAACAAGUAUAUUCUAAAACUCCAUCCUAUUUUAAUUUUUCUAUUUUUAAUGCAGAG
rnacentral:lncRNA from 1 species